ACUACGGGUGGCAGCAGUGAGGAAUAUUGGUCAAUGGGCGCGAGCCUGAACCAGCCAAGUAGCGUGAAGGAUGACUGCCCUACGGGUUGUAAACUUCUUUUAUAAAGGAAUAAAGUGAGGCACGUGUGCCUUUUUGUAUGUACCUUAUGAAUAAGGAUCGGCUAACUCCGUGCCAGCAGCCGCGGUAAUCCGGAGGAUCCGAGCGUUAUCCGGUUUUAGUGGGUUUAAAGGGAGCGUGGAGGGGUUGUUAAGUCAGUUGUGAAAGUUUGCGGCUCAACCGUAAAAUUGCAAUUGAUACUGGCUGUCUUGAGUACAGGUGAGGUAGGCGGAAUGCGUGGUGUAGCGGUGAAAUGCUUAGAUAUCACGAAGAACUCCGAUUGCGAAGGCAGCUUACUAAACUGCCACUGACGUUGAUGCACGAAAGUGUGGGUAUCAAACAGGAUUAGAUACCCCUGUAGUC
rnacentral:rRNA from 1 species